rnacentral:lncRNA from 1 species
GAAAAUCUACCUCUUUGUGGAACAAAUAAAAUAUUCAGGCACAAACUUCCGCCAUGGACUGUAAAAAAAAGAGAUGGGUUGUUUUUUGUUCUUUUUCUUUUUUAAUUUUUACUUUUUUAUGGCAUUUUUUUCUCCUGCUUUUAGGAUACAUUGUAGUAGAAAGCCAAUGGAGGAAAACAAAGGUAAUAUAUAUAUAUAAAAUCAAAAAUAUAUACGGGCCAAAUGAUAGUGAUUAUAUAUAAUUAAAUCAUAGUUUUUAGGUGUGUGGGUUUAUCUUAUAUUUUAAGCAGUUCCCGUAAAAAGGAGAUAUACAUAUAAAUAUGUAGUCAACAUACAGAAUAUUUAUAUAUGUAUGUAGUAAAUAUAUAGAAAUAUUUCUAUAUCUGUAGAAAUAAUAGAGCAUCUACAUGGGCCUAAAUCUGAAAUUCCAUGGGGAAAAAAGCAGUAUUUUAGGCAUGUAGCUUUUAACAAGGAAGGGGCAACGUUGUAGCCUGUGACAACACUGUGAUGCAGACAAAAAGGUAAGGCAACAUUAAAAAAAUAUUUAAAAAAAAAAAAGAAAAAAAAAGCGUAUGUGGUACCUUGGCUGCAGCCUCCAACAACGAGCGUGUGGAUGUUACGGGAUUUUGGUUUUUUAUGGUAUUACCACGUCUGAUCACACCAAUAUAUGAUUUUAAUUAAGCGAAUGGCGGGCGAGCUGUCGUGGGGAGCAGGCAAGCGGCGAUGGCUUCUUCCCACACCACUCCGGCUCCGAAGAUAAAUCAGUCCUCGGGUGUUAGGGGAUUUCUCCUUGGUUUGUUUUUUUUCCCCCAAGCACGUUUGGGUAUUUUCCAUGCCGUGAGGAAAGCGGGAGAUGGCGGCUCCGACCCCUGCGAAGGAGAAAAGCAGUGCAAGAGAACAGAAUUAGUGAUGAGUCCCCAAAGUCAAUAAGCCGCCUUGACAAACAGGAUAACCUCUGCGAGAAAUAUCUGGGAUUUUUAAUAAAACACCUCACAGGCUCUACUGGACA